GGGCCCGCACAAGCGGUGGAGUAUGUGGUUUAAUUCGAUGCAACGCGAAGAACCUUACCAGGGUUUGACAUCCUGCGAAUCUCUUGGAAACAGGAGAGUGCCUUCGGGAACGCAGUGACAGGUGGUGCAUGGCUGUCGUCAGCUCGCGUCGUGAGAUGUUGGGUUAAGUCCCGCAACGAGCGCAACCCACGUCUUUAGUUGCCAGCAUUUAGUUGGGCACUCUAGAGAGACUGCCGGUGAUAAACCGGAGGAAGGUGUGGAUGACGUCAAGUCCUCAUGGCCCUUACGGUCUGGGCUACACACGUGCUACAAUGGUGGUGACAGAGGGCAGCAAUAUCGCAAGAUAAAGCUAAUCCCUAAAAACCAUCUCAGUUCGGAUUGGACUCUGCAACUCGAGUCCAUGAAGUUGGAAUCGCUAGUAAUCGU
rnacentral:rRNA from 1 species